rnacentral:rRNA from 1 species
AUAGCGUAUAUUAAAGUUGUUGCCGUUAAAAAGCUCGUAGUCGAACUUCGGGUCCUGUCCGCCGGUCCGCCUUCUUGGUGUGUACUUGUUGGAUGGGACCUUACCUCCUGGUGAACAGCGAUGUCCUUUACUGGGUGUCGUUGCAAACCAGGACGUUUACUUUGAAAAAAUUAGAGUGUUCAAAGCAGGCCUUUGCCCGAAUACAUUAGCAUGGAAUAAUAGAAUAGGACGCGCGUUCCCAUUUUGUUGGUUUCUGAGAUCGCCGUAAUGAUUAAUAGGGAUAGUUGGGGGCAUUUGUAUUCCGACGUCAGAGGUGAAAUUCUUGGAUUGCCGGAAGACAAACUACUG